GAUGAACGCUGACAGAAUGCUUAACCCAUGCAAGUCAACUGUGGCGGACGGGUGAGUAACGCGUAAAGAACUUGCCUCACAGCUAGGGACAACAUUUGGAAACGAAUGCUAAUACCUGAUACUGUGAGAGAGCUUUGCGUCCCAUUAGCUAGUUGGAGAGGUAACGGCUCACCAAGGCGAGGAUGGGUAGCCGGCCUGAGAGGGUGAUCGGCCACAAGGGGACUGAGACACGGCCCUUACUCCUACGGGAGGAAGCAGUGGGGAAUAUUGGACAAUGGACCAAAGUCUGAGCCAGCAAUUCUGGGUGCACGAUGAAGUUUUCGGAAUGUAAAGUGCUUUCAGUUGGGAAGCGGUACCAACAGAAGAAGUGACGGCUAAAUACGUGCCAGCAGCCGCGGUAAUAC
rnacentral:rRNA from 1 species